rnacentral:rRNA from 1 species
UACGAAGGGGGCUAGCGUUGUUCGGAAUUACUGGGCGUAAAGCGCACGUAGGCGGGUUGUUAAGUCAGGGGUGAAAUCCUGGAGCUCAACUCCAGAACUGCCUUUGAUACUGAAGAGCUUGAGUCCGGGAGAGGUGAGUGGAACUGCGGAGUGUAGAGGUGAAAUUCGUAGAUAUUCGCAAGAACACCAGUGGCGAAGGCGGCUCACUGGCCCGGUACUGACGCUGAGGUGCGAAAGCGUGGGGAGCAAACAGG